rnacentral:lncRNA from 1 species
CGAAACCUCUGAUCAUGUUCUGUAGAGUACACCCGCUCAACUGAUCCAAUGCAACCAAUACAGUAUUGGAAGCUUUCUACGAACAAGGCACCCAGAGAGGGCUCGGAGGAAGAUGACAGUGCCAACGGGCACAGGGAGAAUCGUGAGCUUACUGCACCUUCCCAGCAGGCAGAGUGAGCCCGUAGGACAAGAGCCCCCUUUCUCCGUUUCCCAUCUGCCCUGCAGCCCCGAGGAACGGUCCAUUCUACAGACAAGAGGCCUGACGCUCAGAAGCAAAGCAACUUGCCACAAUCGCAUCACCGGGAAAGUACCUUCAAGACAGUCCUGGACGCGGUGGCUUCACGCCUGUAAUACCAGCACUUUGGGAGGCCAAGGCAAGAGGAUCACUGGAUCACUUGAGCCCAGAAGUUUGAGACUAGCCUGGACAACAUAGUGAAACCCCUGUCUUUACAAAAAUUGAUUAAUUAAUUAAUUGUUUAAAAGAGACUAUUCCUCAUUCUUUUGACAUCAUUUUAAAUGAGAAUGCAGAAUAUGACAUUGUACAUACUGAUAUUUGAUUCCUUUUAUAUAACCUUUCAUGUAUUAAAAAACUGCACUGAAAAUCUAGAAUUAAGUUAAAAUUGGUGUGGGUUAUUUGUGAAUGGUGGGAUUUUUUAAAUGUAUUCCAACACCCAUAUAUUCCAACUUUUCCACACUUCCAAAGUCUGGAAUACUUUGAGGAUGGGGAGGAAAGAUAUGUUUACGGUCCUUGGGAAACUGAAAAGCAUUUCCUGUGAUGUCCCAGGGAGCUGGGGCACAGGAGCCAGCCUUGAAGUGGAAACCCCAGGCCAUCCACUCACAAUCUGAGUAUCCUUGGGUGAGUGAUCUCUCUAACCUCCCAUCGAGUCCCCUGUAAACUAGAAAUAAUUAUAGCUGCCCACAUCACUGUCUUACUAUAAGAGUAAAAUGAGAUAAUGUAUUUUAAAACAUUGGUAUAGUGUGAGUAUUCAAUAAAUAUUCUUUGAGUGAA